UCCACCUCGAAGUUCUUCUCCAAGGCCUUCACCUGAUCCACGCUCAGUCUCCUCUUUUUCUCCGAGACGUGCCCUCCGGAUUCUUCUAAACACCCCUCUUCAUCCAGACCGUCCAACAUCGUCUGGAAUUCUCGACUGUAAACUUGGUUGUUUCUCGGACUCUGCUCGUCUGAUUGAUAAUAAAUCACAAAAAAACAAUUAUUUAUUUUUAAUUAGUAAGGAAAAGAUUUGAUAAUUGCGAAAAUAUUUUGAAAUUAACAUGGCUGGUAUUCUUAAUUAACAGCAACCUGUGGCUGGGCAGAUGGACAUCAAAGCACCCAAGGAAUCAUCUGAGCUGCAAAGUGAUCGCUUCAUGCCUGAUGAUGAAGUGAAGCCGACUGUAGUAAGCAGAUCUAUUUUCUUAGAUCGGAAAUUUUUUUGAUUUUUUAUUUUUUUAAGUGGAUCUCUCAAGUUUUAAGAAGUAGCUUUAAGAGGAGUUUCUUCUUUAGGACUUGAAAGAGCAGCUGCCGUGUCUGAAAAUAGAGCGCUGUUCUGUAUAAUAAUACUACAAUUGUACAACAACUCCUCUUCUCUCUUUAGUUCAACGUAUUUCUUCUCCCUAUUUAACACUUGUUGCCCCUCUGAACCCAUAAAAAUGAAUUUAAACGAAAACAGGAAAAAAAAAAAAAAGAAAGAAAAAUACUAAUUACACACAAAGAAAGAAAAAUACUAAUUACACACAAAAAAAAAAAAAAAAGAAAGAAAAAUACUAAUUACACACAAAAGACUCAAACCCAACAAUCUAAAACUUUCACUGUAAUUAAAACCCAACCCACAAGAGAAGUAAUCAAAGAAAGAAACUCUCUCACUCCACUCUUUCUUUUCUCUUUACAUCACUUAACUCAACAAAAAAUUUAAGAGAGCUGAGUAGUAUUGAAUGAGCACAAUAGUCUCGGACUGCUCAUCUACAAAUGAAAUUAUUUGGACUAAAGAGAGAGGAAUUGGGAGAUCAAUGAACCAGUUAAGAAAUUACAACACAGCUGGCCACGGCCUUGCCCGUGGUCUCUCUUUAAAUAAACCAACUUGGGUCAGGGUUUGGGUUAGAAUCUGACUGGGGUUAGGUACACUGCAGUUUGCCUGCCAAAUGAAAUGAGCCCAAAAUUCAAUGCAAAUGCAAUUUUUUCAGCCACCGGCUAUAGACUGUCGUCGUCCGGUUUUCGACCGUUUUGUGAGAUUUUUAUUUAUUUAUUUAUUUAUUUUUAUUGUGGGGUUAUAAAGGGAGACUGCGAGCAUGAGAGAGAUGAACGUUGAAGUAAGAAAUUGGAAAUUUGGAAAAGGAUGGGACGGCUCGGCUUUUACGGCUCGGCUCCGCAUAUGAGCUAAUCAAGAUUUGGGUGCCAUCAGCGUUUCA
rnacentral:lncRNA from 1 species